GUGCCAGCAGCCGCGUAAUACGGAGGGUGCGAGCGUUAAUCGGAAUUACUGGGCGUAAAGCGCAUGCAGGUGGUUUGUUAAGUCAGAUGUGAAAGCCCGGGGCUCAACCUCGGAAUUGCAUUUGAAACUGGCAGGCUAGAGUACUGUAGAGGGGGGUAGUAUUUCAGGUGUAGCGGUGAAAUGCGUAGAGAUCUGAAGGAAUACCGGUGGCGAAGGCGGCCCCCUGGACAGAUACUGACACUCAGAUGCGAAAGCGUGGGGAGCAAACAGGAUUAGAAACCCUCGUAGUCC
rnacentral:rRNA from 1 species